rnacentral:rRNA from 1 species
AGAGUUUGAUCAUGGCUCAGAUUGAACGCUGGCGGCAGGCUUAACACAUGCAAGUCGAACGAAGUUAGGAAGCUUGCUUCUGAUACUUAGUGGCGGACGGGUGAGUAAUGCUUAGGAAUCUGCCUAGUAGUGGGGGAUAACUUGGGGAAACCCAAGCUAAUACCGCAUACGACCUACGGGUGAAAGGGGGCUUUUAGCUCUCGCUAUUAGAUGAGCCUAAGUCGGAUUAGCUAGUUGGUGGGGUAAAGGCCUACCAAGGCGACGAUCUGUAGCUGGUCUGAGAGGAUGAUCAGCCACACUGGGACUGAGACACGGCCCAGACUCCUACGGGAGGCAGCAGUGGGGAAUAUUGGACAAUGGGCGAAAGCCUGAUCCAGCCAUGCCGCGUGUGUGAAGAAGGCCUUUUGGUUGUAAAGCACUUUAAGUGGGGAGGAAAAGCUUAUGGUUAAUACCCAUAAGCCCUGACGUUACCCACAGAAUAAGCACCGGCUAACUCUGUGCCAGCAGCCGCGGUAAUACAGAGGGUGCAAGCGUUAAUCGGAAUUACUGGGCGUAAAGCGCGCGUAGGUGGUUAUUUAAGUCAGAUGUGAAAGCCCCGGGCUUAACCUGGGAACUGCAUCUGAUACUGGAUAACUAGAGUAGGUGAGAGGGGAGUAGAAUUCCAGGUGUAGCGGUGAAAUGCGUAGAGAUCUGGAGGAAUACCGAUGGCGAAGGCAGCUCCCUGGCAUCAUACUGACACUGAGGUGCGAAAGCGUGGGUAGCAAACAGGAUUAGAUACCCUGGUAGUCCACGCCGUAAACGAUGUCUACCAGUCGUUGGGUCUUUUAAAGACUUAGUGACGCAGUUAACGCAAUAAGUAGACCGCCUGGGGAGUACGGCCGCAAGGUUAAAACUCAAAUGAAUUGACGGGGGCCCGCACAAGCGGUGGAGCAUGUGGUUUAAUUCGAUGCAACGCGAAGAACCUUACCUGGUCUUGACAUAUCUAGAAUCCUGCAGAGAUGCGGGAGUGCCUUCGGGAAUUAGAAUACAGGUGCUGCAUGGCUGUCGUCAGCUCGUGUCGUGAGAUGUUGGGUUAAGUCCGCAACGAGCGCAACCCUUUUCCUUAGUUACCAGCGACUCGGUCGGGAACUCUAAGGAUACUGCCAGUGACAAACUGGAGGAAGGC